rnacentral:rRNA from 1 species
UGCCAGCAGCCGCGGUAAUACGGAGGGGGCUAGCGUUGUUCGGAAUUACUGGGCGUAAAGCGCGCGUAGGCGGACUGGUCAGUUGGGGGUGAAAUCCCAAGGCUCAACCUUGGAACUGCCUUCAAAACUGCCAGUCUUGAGUCCGGGAGAGGUGAGUGGAAUUCCUAGUGUAGAGGUGAAAUUCGUAGAUAUUAGGAAGAACACCAGUGGCGAAGGCGGCUUUCUGGACCAAUACUGACGCUGAGAUGCGAAAGCGUGGGGAGCGAACAGGAUUAGAUA